rnacentral:tRNA from 1 species
AGUGUUGGGGCUCAGUGGUAGAGCACCUGCUUAGCAUGUGGGAGGCUCUGGGUUUGAUCCUCAGCACCGCCU